rnacentral:rRNA from 1 species
UGGGGAAUAUUGGACAAUGGGCGCAAGCCUGAUCCAGCCAUGCCGCGUGAGUGAUGAAGGCUCUAGGGUUGUAAAGCUCUUUCAUCGGUGAAGAUAAUGACGGUAACCGGAUAAGAAGCCCCGGCUAACUUCGUGCCAGCAGCCGCGGUAAUACGAAGGGGGCUAGCGUUGUUCGGAUUUACUGGGCGUAAAGCGCACGUAGGCGGACUUUUAAGUCAGGGGUGAAAUCCCGGGGCUCAACCCCGGAACUGCCUUUGAUACUGGAAGUCUUGAGUAUGGUAGAGGUGAGUGGAAUUCCGAGUGUAGAGGUGAAAUUCGUAGAUAUUCGGAAGAACACCAGUGGCGAAGGCGGCUCACUGGACCAUUACUGACGCUGAGGUGCGAAAGCGUGGGGAGCAAACAGG